rnacentral:rRNA from 1 species
AACGAACGCUGGCGGCAGGCUUAACACAUGCAAGUCGAGCGCCCCGCAAGGGGAUCGGCAGACGGAUGAGUAACGCGUGGGAAUCUACCGUACCCUACGGAAUAGCUCCGGGAAACUGGAAUUAAUACCGUAUACGCCCUACGGGGGAAAGAUUUAUCGGGGUAUGAUGAGCCCGCGUUGGAUUAGCUAAUUGGUGGGGUAAAGGCCUACCAAGGCGACGAUCCAUAGCUGGCCUGAGAGGAUGAUCAGCCACAUUGGGACUGAGACACGGCCCAAACUCCUACGGGAGGCAGCAGUGGGGAAUAUUGGACAAUGGGCGCAAGCCUGAUCCAGCCAUGCCGCGUGAGUGAUGAAGGUCUUAGGAUUGUAAAGCUCUUUCACCGAUGAAGAUAAUGACGGUAGUCGGAGAAGAAGCCCCGGCUAACUUCGUGCCAGCCGCCGCAGUAA